GUAGGUGAACCUGCGGAAGGAUCAUUAACACAAUACAUUUACCCAAAUGUAUUUUAACCCCCCUUUGCAAACUUGUUUCAUAUUGUUUUCCCGGAUUUGUGGAGCUUCGUGCUUUUCAAAUCUGUGGUUUCAAACCUUUAUAACCCCUUGAACUGUCUUUGACUGAAACUCUGAGCUGUGACAGCUUCUUAAAAACAAUCUGUCAUAUCUCUGCCAUAUAUCAAACGCUGAACAACUCUUAGCAACGGAUAUCUUGGCUCUC
rnacentral:misc_RNA from 1 species